GAUGAUAUAGCUUAAAAGUGGUAGAGUGCAUGAUUAGCAUGCAUGAGGUCCUGGAUUCAACCCCCAGUACCUUCA
rnacentral:tRNA from 1 species